rnacentral:rRNA from 1 species
CCUACGGGAGGCAGCAGUGGGGAAUUUUGGACAAUGGGGGCAACCCUGAUCCAGCCAUGCCGCGUGAGUGAAGAAGGCCUUCGGGUUGUAAAGCUCUUUCGGCCGGGAAGAAAUCGCACAGGCUAAUACUCUGCGUGGAUGACGGUACCGGCAUAAGAAGCACCGGCUAACUACGUGCCAGCAGCCGCGGUAAUACGUAGGGUGCGAGCGUUAAUCGGAAUUCCUGGGCGUAAAGCGUGCGCAGGCGGUUAGAUAAGUUUGAUGUGAAAUCCCCGGGCUCAACCUGGGAACUGCAUUGAAGACUGUCUGACUAGAGUACGGCAGAGGGGGGUGGAAUUCCACGUGUAGCAGUGAAAUGCGUAGAGAUGUGGAGGAACACCGAUGGCGAAGGCAGCCCCCUGGGCCGAUACUGACGCUCAUGCACGAAAGCGCGGGGAGCAAACAGGAUUAGAUACCCUGGUAGUCCACGCCCUAAACGAUGUCAACUAGUUGUUGGUAGGGUUAAACCUAUUAGUAACGUAGCUAACGCGUGAAGUUGACCGCCUGGGGAGUACGGUCGCAAGAUUAAAACUCAAAUGAAUUGACGG